CCUACGGGUGGCAGCAGUGAGGAAUAUUGGUCAAUGGGCGCAAGCCUGAACCAGCCAUGCCGCGUGCAGGAAGACGGCUCUACGAGUUGUAAACUGCUUUUGUACGAGGGUAAACGCCCUUACGCGUAUCGGUUUGAAAGUAUCGUACGAAUAAGGAUCGGCUAACUCCGUGCCAGCAGCCGCGGUAAUACGGAGGAUUCAAGCGUUAUCCGGAUUUAUUGGGUUUAAAGGGUGCGUAGGCGGUCGGAUAAGUUAGAGGUGAAAUCCCGAUGCUCAACAUCGGAAUUGCCUCUGAUACUGUACGGCUAGAGAGUAGAUGCAGUAGGCGGAAUGUGUGGUGUAGCGGUGAAAUGCUUAGAGAUCACACAGAACACCGAGUGCGAAGGCAGCUUGCCAAGCUACAUCUGACGCUGAGGCACGAAAGCGUGGGGAGCGAACAGGAUUAGAUACCCGUGUAGUC
rnacentral:rRNA from 1 species